AUGAGGAGCCGCCUCUUCCACUACUCCUUGCUCCUCGUGCUGUGCUUCCUCUCCCGAAGCUCGGCAGCUAUGGCUGCUCCUCGUCUCCCCGUGCGAGCGGUGAACCUCGGAGGGUGGCUGGUCACGGAGGGCUGGAUCCUGCCGUCCCUCUUCGACGGCAUCCCCAACAACGAUCUCCUGGACGGCACGCAGCUGCAGUUCAAGUCGGUAACGCAGAACGCCUACGUGGCCGCGGAGAAUGGCGGCGGCGCGGGGCUGGUGGCGAACCGGCCUCAGGCGUCUGGCUGGGAGACCUUCAAGCUGUGGCGGAUCAACGAGGUGACAUUCAACUUCAAAGUGUUCGGCAACCAGUUCGUGGGCGUCAAGAGCGACGGCUCGCUGGUCGCGACGGCCGCGUCGCCGGGGCGGCCAGAGACGUUCCGACUGGUCCGCAGCCCCGGCGACCAGUACAGGAUGCGGAUCAUGGCGCCCAACGGUCUCUUCUUGCAGGCAAACAAAGAUGCCUCGCUGACGGCGGACUAUGGCCAGAGCACCAGCUGGGGCGACGACGACCCGUCGGUGUUCGCGGUGACCAGAGUGACGGGGCUACAAGGGGAGUACCAGAUCUGCAACGGCUAUGGGACUGCAAAGGCUACACCUAUUCUCAGGAACCAUUGGAGCACAUAUAUAGUGGAAGCUGACUUCAGGUUCAUCUCCGAAAGCGGGCUGACCGCAGUGAGAAUACCAGUGGGAUGGUGGAUCGCUAACGACCCCAGACCUCCAACACCUUACGUUGGAGGUUCACUUAAAACCUUAGACAAGGCAUUCAAAUGGGCAGAGAAGUACAAUCUAGGCGUCAUCAUUGACCUACAUGCAGCUCCUGGGUCGCAAAAUCCCUUUGAGCACAGCUCCUCCAAGGAUGGCUCACAGGACUGGGGCACCACCGACACUAACAUCGCACAAACUGUGCAAGUGAUAGAUUUUCUCGCAUCCAGGUACGCCAAAAGCCCAAGCCUCCUCGCAGUUGAGCUAAUGAACGAGCCGUUGGCACCCGGUGUAUCCCUGGAGAGCCUAAAAACGUACUACCGCGACGGGUACAACACCGUCAGGAAGCACUCAUCGGAUGCCUAUGUGAUCAUGUCCAACCGGUUGUCAUCCCCGGACCCAACAGAGCUCCUCGGGCUCGCUGGCGGGUUACCUGGAUCCGUCAUCGAUGUGCAUUACUACGCGUUGUUCAACAACAUGUUUGAUACUUUCACCGUGCAACAAAAUAUUGAAUUCAUCAAGACCAACUACUCAAGCGAUCUUAGCAUUGUCACGAGGGAAAAUGGUCCCCUCACCUUUGUAGGAGAAUGGGUGGCUGAGUGGAAGGUGCCUAAUGCAGCGAAGCAAGAGUUCCAAAUGUUUGCAAAUGCACAGAUGGAUGUGUAUGGGAGGGCAACGUUUGGAUGGUCCUAUUGGACUCUCAAGAAUGUGAACAACCACUGGAGUAUGGAGUGGAUGAUUAACAAUGGAUACAUCUCCUUGAAAAGCUAG
rnacentral:rRNA from 1 species